UGCCAGCCGCCGCGGUAAUACGGAGGGUGCAAGCGUUAAUCGGAAUUACUGGGCGUAAAGCGCGCGUAGGCGGCUUGUUAAGUCAGAUGUGAAAUCCCCGGGCUCAACCUGGGAACUGCAUCCGAUACUGGCAGGCUAGAGUAUGUUAGAGGCAAGUGGAAUUCCGGGUGUAGCGGUGAAAUGCGUAGAUAUCCGGAGGAACAUCAGUGGCGAAGGCGGCUGCCUGGAUUAAGACUGACGCUGAGGCACGAAAGCGUGGGGAGCAAACAGGAUUAGAUA
rnacentral:rRNA from 1 species